rnacentral:rRNA from 1 species
UACGUAGGGGGCAAGCGUUGUCCGGAAUCAUUGGGCGUAAAGAGCGUGUAGGUGGCCCGGUCAGUCCGCCGUGAAAGUCCAGGGCUCAACCCUGGAAUGCCGGUGGAUACUGCCGGGCUGGAGUCCGGAAGAGGCGAGUGGAAUUCCUAGUGUAGAGGUGAAAUUCGUAGAUAUUAGGAAGAACACCAGUGGCGAAGGCGGCUCACUGGCCCGGUACUGACGCUGAGACGCGAAAGCGUGGGUAGCAAACAGG